GAGCUGCCGCACAUGCGCGGCAGCUACUCGAUCAUUCAGUCAGAGAGCUCUGAUGACUGUCAGAGCUCUCGGUGCUUUAGAUUGGAGAUGGCUGGAUAGGUGCUGCUGCACAUCCUGUUUAGUCUCUCGGCUCUCUCCUUCUCCUCUUCCCCCGCCCGAAGCAAGCAGCAAACAUUGUGCGGCACAAUCAGGGGCAGUGCACACUACAGGAAGUCCCCAGAUGCCGAACAUAGAGCAGAUGCGGGAGCAGCAGAAAGCGUUCAUGGUAAUGAAGUGUUAACACGACUCAAUUCCUGAAUUCUCCGGAAUUGUUCCUGAUACCUUUGCAGUGGUGCCAGAUUACAGAGAGAAAAUCCAGGGCUGGAGACCCCCGAAUCACUCUCUCGCUACACGUCUCGUCAAGCCUGACUCCCAAUCUUCUUACAUCUCCUCUGACACAAACCCUGGAACAUUUUUUUUAUCCUCUUAGAAAAGUGCGGAGAAGCUGAUGUACAGAAAUGAAAGGACAAAGCUUCCCAGAUGAUCACCGCCCCAAUCAUUCAUUAUCACAUAUUGCGCACAUUACUGCUACGGUAGUUAUACAAGAAAAGGGCAACGUUGUAGAUUGUUAAACGGUCAUUGUUAAAAAAAAAAUAAUAAUUUGCAGAAUUCACACAUUUAAAAAAGGGAAGAUCAAAGGGCAAAUAAAUCAAAAUAGGGUCUUUUCUGAGAAGGUAGCGCCCAUGAAUAAUUACUGAAGAUGAACUCUGGUACGGGGAACAUUUAGCUUCCUGAUUCCAAGUAAAAAAUAAAUAAAAAAUUAAAUGUUAAUGAAA